UACGUAGGGUGCAAGCGUUAAUCGGAAUUACUGGGCGUAAAGCGUGCGCAGGCGGUUCUAUAAGUCAGAUGUGAAAUCCCCGGGCUCAACCUGGGAACUGCAUUUGUGACUGUAGAGCUGGAGUGCGGCAGAGGGGGAUGGAAUUCCGCGUGUAGCAGUGAAAUGCGUAGAUAUGCGGAGGAACACCGAUGGCGAAGGCAAUCCCCUGGACCUGUACUGACGCUCAUGCACGAAAGCGUGGGGAGCAAACAGG
rnacentral:rRNA from 1 species